rnacentral:rRNA from 1 species
AUCCUGGCUCAGGACGAACGCUGGCGGCGUGCCUAACACAUGCAAGUCGAACGAAGCUCCUGAUCGGAAUCUUCGGAGGAAGAGAGGAAGACUGAGUGGCGGACGGGUGAGUAACGCGUGAGCAACCUGCCUUUCAGAGGGGGAUAACAGUUGGAAACGACUGCUAAUACCGCAUAACAUAGCGUAGUCGCAUGGCGAUGCUAUCAAAGCUGAGGCGCUGAAAGAUGGGCUCGCGUCCGAUUAGAUAGUUGGUGGGGUAACGGCCUACCAAGUCGACGAUCGGUAGCCGGACUGAGAGGUUGAACGGCCACAUUGGGACUGAGACACGGCCCAGACUCCUACGGGAGGCAGCAGUGGGGGAUAUUGCACAAUGGGCGAAAGCCUGAUGCAGCAACGCCGCGUGAGGGAAGACGGUUUUCGGAUUGUAAACCUCUGUCCUUGGUGACGAAGGAAGUGACGGUAGCCAAGGAGGAAGCCCCGGCAAACUACGUGCC